AAGGCGAGGAAGGAGCUACUUCCAUCAUGUUUCCCGAGGACCAGCCCAGCCUCCUGCCUUCCUCAGGCAUCCGUGGUGCUUCCAGGAUGGGCUGGAGAUGACCUUCCCACAGUGGAGGCACCGGGCAACAAGCUAAGAGAGAAGAUUGACUUGGAAAAGCCUCUUGAAGGGCUCAAUUGAUCCUCCGCAAUUCACUCGCUCCUCGCGAGGAGGAAAAACUGCACCGCUGCAUAAUUCAAAAAGCAAACACAGAGAGGAGAGGGAGAGAGGAAAAAUCAAUACGGCUACAACUGAUCCUGCAGAUAAAUGAAGCGGCGAGCGCCGGCGAGAGGGAGGAUCCCUGGCAGCCGCCCCUCAGCCCAGAGAAACUUCAGCAACUUGGAAAUGGGCUCAGGAAGCUCCUUCCUCCUUUGAGCUGCUCGUCACCGCGCUGUGAAGCUUGUUUUCCCCUCUUGUCGGAACAAGUCUCACUCAGGCAGGAUUUGGCCAUGAAAGACACCAAUGAGAGGGCGUUGUGAUCAGCGUCCACCACCUGGUCUGCCUGCCCUGGGGCUGUCUUGAAGAUGGAGAAGGUGAGCCAUGGUCUGCCAUGCCUGAGCCCAGCUCCAGGACCACCACACAGCCCUCUCCCAAACGUCCAUCUCCCUCCAGGCCAC
rnacentral:lncRNA from 1 species